AUUGUACGCUGGCGGCAGGCCUAACACAUGCAAGUCGAACGAGUGGCGGACGGGUGAGUAAUGUCUGGGCAACUGCCUGAUGGAGGGGGAUAACUACUGGAAACGGUAGCUAAUACCGCAUACCAUCAGAUGUGCCCAGAUGGGAUUAGCUUGUUGGUGGGGUAAAGGCUCACCAAGGCGACGAUCCCUAUCUGGCCUGAGAGGAUGACCGCCCACACGGGAACUGGGACACGGUCCAGACUCCUACGGGAGGCAGCAGUGGGGAAUAUUGGGCAAUGGGCGCAAGCCUGAUGCAGCCAUGCCGCGUGUAUGAAGGAGGCCGUCGGGUUGUAAAGUACUUUCAGCGGGGAGGCGUUACCCGCAGAAGAAGCACCGGCUAACUCCGUGCCAGCAGCCGCGGUAAUAC
rnacentral:rRNA from 1 species